UUUACAAAUUACAUAAUUAAAAUAGCUAUAAAUAUAGCUAUAAAUAGCUUCAUCGAAAUAGUAAAUGUUGUAAUAAUUUAAAAAUUCUUGAAUAAUAAAAAUAGUGUAUUUUUUUAUAAUUAUUACUAUAUUGUGGAAAAAUUACUGAAUAUAAAAAAUUGAUACACAAAAUGAACACUAUCAUCGACUGUAAGAUCAUGAAAAAAGAAAAAAAUGAAGUCUAAAGCUUGCGCAUUAUUAUGUAAAUUGUGCCUUGAGGUGCCGAGAAAGAGAUAAACAAGAACCGGAAAGAAUGCCAUAUAAAUACCAAUGAUCGGUGGCACGUUACCCAAUAUUGCAUACGCCAUUCCUGCAAUGUAAUUAAAAUCCUUAUAAUACCAAUUUUAACGUUUUAAUUCUUUUGAGAACUUUACUUAUUUAUUAAUUAAAAUAAAGUGGAAAUAUUUAAAAAGCAGAUAUACUAUUUUAGUUUCGUAUUAAUAAAGAUAUUGAUUGAUUUAUUUAA